UGGGGAAUAUUGCACAAUGGAGGGAACUCUGAUGCAGCGACGCCGCGUGAGUGAUGAAGGAAUUCGUUUCGUAAAACUCUGUUCUAUGGGAAGAAAAGGACUGUACCAUAGGAGAAAGCUUCGGCUAAAUACGUGCCAGCAGCCGCGGUAAUACGUAUGGAGCGAGCGUUGUCCGGAAUUAUUGGGCGUAAAGGGUGCGCAGGCGGCUUUACAAGUUGGAUGUGAAAUAUUGUGGCUCAACCACAAACGUGCAUCCAAAACUGCAAAGCUUGAGUUAAGGAGAGGUAAGUGGAAUUCCUGGUGUAGCGGUGGAAUGCGUGGAUAUCAGGAGGAAUACCGGUGGCGGAGGCGACUUACUGGACUUAAACUGACGCUCAGGCACGAAAGCGUGGGGAGCAAACAGG
rnacentral:rRNA from 1 species